CAGGUAUUCCACAGGCUUAACCCUGGCUAACUCGGUACAAACUGGCACAGUACAGAACAGGAUGGUACAGAAUCGACUGGUUCAGACUGACCCAGUAUGGAAUGAGACACUCCGGACUGGUACGCUGCAAUCUCUGAGCAGAUUCAGCGAUACAUCUAGUUUGGUAGAGUCAAUAAGGAACAGAUCCUCAACAGGUUUUCUCCAGUCAGCCAAC